AAGGCGAGGCCGAAAGGCGUAGUCGAUGGGAAACAGGUUAAUAUUCCUGUACUUGGUAUUACUGCGAAGGGGGGACGGAGAAGGCUAUGUUGGCCGGGCGACGGUUGUCCCGGUUUAAGCGUGUAGGCUGGUUUUCCAGGCAAAUCCGGAAAAUCAAGGCUGAGGCGUGAUGACGAGGCACUACGGUGCUGAAGCAACAAAUGCCCUGCUUCCAGGAAAAGCCUCUAAGCAUCAGGUAACAUCAAAUCGUACCCCAAACCGACACAGGUGGUCAGGUAGAGAAUACCAAGGCGCUUGAGAGAACUCGGGUGAAGGAACUAGGCAAAAUGGUGCCGUAACUUCGGGAGAAGGCACGCUGAUAUGUAGGUGAAGUCCCUUGCGGAUGGAGCUGAAAUCAGUCGAAGAUACCAGCUGGCUGCAACUGUUUAUUAAAAACACAGCACUGUGCAAACACGAAAGUGGACGUAUACGGUGUGACGCCUGCCCGGUGCCGGAAGGUUAAUUGAUGGGGUCAGCGCAAGCGAAGCUCUUGAUCGAAGCCCCGGUAAACGGCGGCCGUAACUAUAACGGUCCUAAGGUAGCGAAAUUCCUUGUCGGGUAAGUUCCGACCUGCACGAAUGGCGUAAUGAUGGCCAGGCUGUCUCCACCCGAGACUCAGUGAAAUUGAACUCGCUGUGAAGAUGCAGUGUACCCGCGGCAAGACGGAAAGACCCCGUGAACCUUUACUAUAGCUUGACACUGAACAUUGAGCCUUGAUGUGUAGGAUAGGUGGGAGGCUUUGAAGUGUGGACGCCAGUCUGCAUGGAGCCGGCCUUGAAAUACCACCCUUUAAUGUUUGAUGUUCUAACGUGGACCCGUGAUCCGGGUUGCGGACAGUGUCUGGUGGGUAGUUUGACUGGGGCGGUCUCCUCCUAAAGAGUAACGGAGGAGCACGAAGGUUGGCUAAUCCUGGUCGGACAUCAGGAGGUUAGUGCAAUGGCAUAAGCCAGCUUGACUGCGAGCGUGACGGCGCGAGCAGGUGCGAAAGCAGGUCAUAGUGAUCCGGUGGUUCUGAAUGGAAGGGCCAUCGCUCAACGGAUAAAAGGUACUCCGGGGAUAACAGGCUGAUACCGCCCAAGAGUUCAUAUCGACGGCGGUGUUUGGCACCUCGAUGUCGGCUCAUCACAUCCUGGGGCUGAAGUAGGUCCCAAGGGUAUGGCUGUUCGCCAUUUAAAGUGGUACGCGAGCUGGGUUUAGAACGUCGUGAGACAGUUCGGUCCCUAUCUGCCGUGGGCGCUGGAGAACUGAGGGGGGCUGCUCCUAGUACGAGAGGACCGGAGUGGACGCAUCACUGGUGUUCGGGUUGUCAUGCCAAUGGCACUGCCCGGUAGCUAAAUGCGGAAGAGAUAAGUGCUGAAAGCAUCUAAGCACGAAACUUGCCCCGAGAUGAGUUCUCCCUGACCCUUUAAGGGUCCUGAAGGAACGUUGAAGACGACGACGUUGAUAGGCCGGGUGUGUAAGCGCAGCGAUGCGUUGAGCUAACCGGUACUAAUGAACCGUGAGGCUUAACCUUACAACGCCGAAG
rnacentral:rRNA from 1 species